CGGGACACGUGGUAUCCUGUCUGAAUAUGGGGGGACCAUCCUCCAAGGCUAAAUACUCCUGACUGACCGAUAGUGAACCAGUACCGUGAGGGAAAGGCGAAAAGAACCCCGGCGAGGGGAGUGAAAAAGAACCUGAAACCGUGUACGUACAAGCAGUGGGAGCCUCUUAAUGGGGUGACUGCGUACCUUUUGUAUAAUGGGUCAGCGACUUAUAUUCUGUAGCAAGGUUAACCGAAUAGGGGAGCCGAAGGGAAACCGAGUCUUAACUGGGCGUUAAGUUGCAGGGUAUAGACCCGAAACCCGGUGAUCUAGCCAUGGGCAGGUUGAAGGUUGGGUAACACUAACUGGAGGACCGAACCGACUAAUGUUGAAAAAUUAGCGGAUGACUUGUGGCUGGGGGUGAAAGGCCAAUCAAACCGGGAGAUAGCUGGUUCUCCCCGAAAGCUAUUUAGGUAGCGCCUCGUGAAUUCAUCUCCGGGGGUAGAGCACUGUUUCGGCAAGGGGGUCAUCCCGACUUACCAACCCGAUGCAAACUGCGAAUACCGGAGAAUGUUAUCACGGGAGACACACGGCGGGUGCUAACGUCCGUCGUGAAGAGGGAAACAACCCAGACCGCCAGCUAAGGUCCCAAAGUCAUGGUUAAGUGGGAAACGAUGUGGGAAGGCCCAGACAGCCAGGAUGUUGGCUUAGAAGCAGCCAUCAUUUAAAGAAAGCGUAAUAGCUCACUGGUCGAGUCGGCCUGCGCGGAAGAUGUAACGGGGCUAAACCAUGCACCGAAGCUGCGGCAGCGACACUAUGUGUUGUUGGGUAGGGGAGCGUUCUGUAAGCCUGUGAAGGUGUACUGUGAGGUAUGCUGGAGGUAUCAGAAGUGCGAAUGCUGACAUAAGUAACGAUAAAGCGGGUGAAAAGCCCGCUCGCCGGAAGACCAAGGGUUCCUGUCCAACGUUAAUCGGGGCAGGGUGAGUCGACCCCUAAGGCGAGGCCGAAAGGCGUAGUCGAUGGGAAACAGGUUAAUAUUCCUGUACUUGGUGUUACUGCGAAGGGGGGACGGAGAAGGCUAUGUUGGCCGGGCGACGGUUGUCCCGGUUUAAGCGUGUAGGCUGGUUUUCCAGGCAAAUCCGGAAAAUCAAGGCUGAGGCGUGAUGACGAGGCACUACGGUGCUGAAGCAACAAAUGCCCUGCUUCCAGGAAAAGCCUCUAAGCAUCAGGUAACAUCAAAUCGUACCCCAAACCGACACAGGUGGUCAGGUAGAGAAUACCAAGGCGCUUGAGAGAACUCGGGUGAAGGAACUAGGCAAAAUGGUGCCGUAACUUCGGGAGAAGGCACGCUGAUAUGUAGGUGAAGUCCCUUGCGGAUGGAGCUGAAAUCAGUCGAAGAUACCAGCUGGCUGCAACUGUUUAUUAAAAACACAGCACUGUGCAAACACGAAAGUGGACGUAUACGGUGUGACGCCUGCCCGGUGCCGGAAGGUUAAUUGAUGGGGUUAGCGGUAACGCGAAGCUCUUGAUCGAAGCCCCGGUAAACGGCGGCCGUAACUAUAACGGUCCUAAGGUAGCGAAAUUCCUUGUCGGGUAAGUUCCGACCUGCACGAAUGGCGUAAUGAUGGCCAGGCUGUCUCCACCCGAGACUCAGUGAAAUUGAACUCGCUGUGAAGAUGCAGUGUACCCGCGGCAAGACGGAAAGACCCCGUGAACCUUUACUAUAGCUUGACACUGAACAUUGAGCCUUGAUGUGUAGGAUAGGUGGGAGGCUUUGAAGUGUGGACGCCAGUCUGCAUGGAGCCGGCCUUGAAAUACCACCCUUUAAUGUUUGAUGUUCUAACGUUGGCCCCUGAUCGGGGUUGCGGACAGUGUCUGGUGGGUAGUUUGACUGGGGCGGUCUCCUCCUAAAGAGUAACGGAGGAGCACGAAGGUUGGCUAAUCCUGGUCGGACAUCAGGAGGUUAGUGCAAUGGCAUAAGCCAGCUUGACUGCGAGCGUGACGGCGCGAGCAGGUGCGAAAGCAGGUCAUAGUGAUCCGGUGGUUCUGAAUGGAAGGGCCAUCGCUCAACGGAUAAAAGGUACUCCGGGGAUAACAGGCUGAUACCGCCCAAGAGUUCAUAUCGACGGCGGUGUUUGGCACCUCGAUGUCGGCUCAUCACAUCCUGGGGCUGAAGUAGGUCCCAAGGGUAUGGCUGUUCGCCAUUUAAAGUGGUACGCGAGCUGGGUUUAGAACGUCGUGAGACAGUUCGGUCCCUAUCUGCCGUGGGCGCUGGAGAACUGAGGGGGGCUGCUCCUAGUACGAGAGGACCGGAGUGGACGCAUCACUGGUGUUCGGGUUGUCAUGCCAAUGGCACUGCCCGGUAGCUAAAUGCGGAAGAGAUAAGUGCUGAAAGCAUCUAAGCACGAAACUUGCCCC
rnacentral:rRNA from 1 species